rnacentral:rRNA from 1 species
ACCCGCUGAACUUAAGCAUAUCACUAAGGGCAGGAUAAGAAAACAACUGUGAUUCUCAUAGUAACUGCGAGUGAAGUGAGAAGAGCCCAACGUUAAAAGCUAUAUCUCUAACGGGAUAUCGCAUUGUAACGUAUAGAUGUGUUCUCAAGGUGAAAGCUUACGUCAAAGUUACAUAGAGCGGUACGCCAAAGAGGGUGAGAGCCCCGUAUGAGACGUAAGCAUUAAUUUUGCCAAGUAAACACAAUCUAAGAGUCGUGUUGUUUGGGAUUGCAACACUAAGUAGGUGGUAAACUUCACCUAAGGCUAAAUACAUACACGAGACCGAUAGCAAACAAGUACCGUGAGGGAAAGUUGAAAAGUACUCUGAAAAGACUGUGAAAAGCACGUGAAACUGUUCAUGGGGAAGCAGACGGUAGAAUCGAAGCAUGCUGUUGAUUGCUCUGAUGUUGCGAGUUCAACUCGUACACAUUGGGGUAUCUCAAUAGUGUAGCGCGCUGAGCUUGUCGUGUUUUACGUCUUGCACGUAGUAAAUGUACGCCGAUGGUUUUAGUGCAGUAAUCGAGGUGUUGAAUGAUCAACAUCAGACUUUGCUGUAUAUUUCCACUCGCUAUAGGUACAUAACAUGGCAAUGGCCAAUAUGAAAGGCGAUCUAUGGAAGUGAUUGAGUGGUAUUUAUGCUGGUACGUUGUUAAACUACUUACGUGUAUUUACUGCUUGAUUGCCAAAUAGAUCUACUCUCAGCGAGAUAUGCUGCUGUCUGACCCGUCUUGAAACACGGACCAAGGAGGCUAACGUAUACGCGAGUCAAAGGGAUACGCUUCGGCGUUGUAUUUGAAACCCUAUGGCGUAACGAAAGUAAAAAGCGACAUCUCCACAUGAGAUGAUUAAUGGUGGAGAGCAUCGCUGGCCAGUCGAGUUCGCUGGGACUAUGAUUGAGCAGGAGCGUAUGCGAUAGGACCCGAAAGAUGGUGAACUAUGCCUGAGUAGGGCAAAGUCAGAGGAAACUCUGAUGGAGGCUCGAAGCGGUUCUGACGUGCAAUUCGAUCGUCAAACUUGGGUAUAGGGGCGAAAGACUAAUCGAACCAUCUAGUAGCUGGUUCCCUCCGAAAUAUCCCUCAGGAUAGCUGGAGCCUGAACCAAAAGCAGUUUCAUCGGGUAGAGCGAGUGAUUAAAGGUAUUGGAGUCAUAACAGACUCUAACCUCUUCUCAAACUGCGAACCGGUGAUAAAAGUGGCGUUGCUUGAUUGAACGCUAACUUUAGAAUGCUAGGGCUCCAAGUGGGCCGUUUCUGGUAAGCAGAACUGGCGAUGCGGGAUGAA